UCGAGAAUCGGUCAUCCAGGGUCAGUAACCCCUGGAGGGUCACUCACCCGGAGUUCAUCACCCUCGCAGGGCCCGUAACCCUGAGGAGAGUCGCUCACUCACCCAUCAGUCACCCGCGGUCCGUCACCUACAGAGCGUUGUCACCCGGGGGUGGUCACCCGUGGAGGGCCGACCCCCGCGCAGCACCUAUCGGGCAGUUUACCUUUUGAAAGAUCACAGAAUCACGGGAUGGGCAAGGUUGGAGGAUAUCACCAGCAGCUUAUCUGGUCCAGCCUCCCUGCUCAAGAAGGGUCACCUGAGUGGCACAGCACUGUGUGCUGACAGUUCUGGAGUAUCUCCAGGGAGGGAGACACCAUAACCUCUCCAGGUAUCCUGUCACUAGUCUGACGUGGAUGAAAUCUUCCCUGUCAGCCCAUUUGUCCAUGUGCUCGGUUGCCCAAAAAGUUCAAACUACAGGACAAACAGUGUCCCUUAAGUGAAGAUUUUGAAUACGAGAAACCAGAUAGGAACAAAGACACUGUUCAAAGAGAGGCAUAAAAACUUACACCUUGGAAAACAAUCCCUUGGUUGCAACUCUCCACUGCUUACAUGGUAGCAUUGUACCUUGAUUUCUGGAAGUAAAUAUACCUUAAUUUAUGCGUUGCAUUACCUCAGGCGACUCGAUUGGUUUUAACAGAGUCAAUGGCAGCAGAGUGACACUUUCUCAGGUGUUGCUGGUUGCUGUUCCCAUACACCACGGACACAUGCAUAUCUCCUGAUAGUUUUUCCUCAAGUACACACCUCCUGCUUCUUCUAGGCUGCCAUCCAGUCCUUUUGUAAUGGCUCCUCAUCUGUAUAUAUUUUUACAAAUAAAACAUCCCCAUAUGCAUUCUCCUUUACAUUUUUCAGUUUCUGAACACCUCCUAGUAAACAUAAAUACUAAAUAUUAGCAUUCAAAAUAGUGUAACUAAUAUCACAACUGCAUUGAGAGUGAUUGUAUAGGAACAUUUACUGGUCAGAAUUUGCAUCAGUAAGCAGAAGAUUGAACAUGGAAUUUUGUUGGGGGUUGUGUGUCUGUCCUUUUGUUCCUUCUCACCUAUGGAGUUUUUUCCCAUUAGUUGCUGGGAAAACCUCAUGGUACUUGUUGUGUGUUUGAGAAACACAAAGAGU